rnacentral:rRNA from 1 species
CAAGUCGAACGGCAGCACGGAGAGCUUGCUCUCUGGUGGCGAGUGGCGAACGGGUGAGUAAUAUAUCGGAACGUAUCCAAUAAUGGGGGAUAACGAGUCGAAAGAUUCGCUAAUACCGCAUACGCCCUACGGGGGAAAGCAGGGGAUCGUAAGACCUUGCGUUAAUGGAGCGGCCGAUAUCUGAUUAGCUUGUUGGUGAGGUAAAGGCUCACCAAGGCGACGAUCAGUAGCUGGUUUGAGAGAACGACCAGCCACACUGGAACUGAGACACGGUCCAGACUCCUACGGGAGGCAGCAGUGGGGAAUUUUGGACAAUGGGGGCAACCCUGAUCCAGCCAUUCCGCGUGAGUGAAGAAGGCCUUCGGGUUGUAAAGCUCUUUCGCAAGGGAAGAAAACUUAUGAUCGAAUAAAUCAUGAGGUUGACGGUACCUUGAUAAGAAGCACCGGCUAACUACGUGCCAGCAGCCGCGGUAAUACGUAGGGUGCGAGCGUUAAUCGGAAUUACUGGGCGUAAAGCGUGCGCAGGCGGUUUUGUAAGUCGGAUGUGAAAUCCCCGGGCUCAACCUGGGAACUGCGUUCGAAACUGCAAGGCUAGAGUGUGUCAGAGGGGGGUAGAAUUCCACGUGUAGCAGUGAAAUGCGUAGAGAUGUGGAGGAAUACCAAUGGCGAAGGCAGCCCCCUGGGAUAACACUGACGCUCACGCACGAAAGCGUGGGGAGCAAACAGGAUUAGAUACCCUGGUAGUCCACGCCCUAAACGAUGUCAACUAGUUGUUGGUAGAGUAAAAUCUAUGAGUAACGUAGCUAACGCGUGAAGUUGACCGCCUGGGGAGUACGGUCGCAAGAUUAAAACUCAAAGGAAUUGACGG